ensembl:lncRNA
GGGGAAAAAAAAUAAGAACCAAGAUACUCAUGUAAUGGUACAAGAUCCCAAUGCUGUAUGUAAAUGUAUUUUAUACCUAAAAUGUACCAAUAAACUUAAUGAGGGGAAAAUAAAAAAGAUAAAAAAGACCUAGGAAUAUUAGGCUUUUGACAUCCCCAAAGGAACUUCCAGGUAUCAGAUUUAGUAUUCAGUCACAGAAUUACAGCACAUCGUGUUCAGGUAGAGGAUGGCCCUGGCGUUUAACUGCACAAAAAUGCCAAAGUUUUGUGUGUUGUGGUUGCUGAAUUGAAACCCAGUGGGCUGCAAUAGGUUAUCAUGCCAGAAUGAGUUGACUCAAUUGGCAGAAUAGAGGAUGUAGCAAUAAACUCAUGGGUUCUGGAGCCAAGAGAACCGCAGGAGCAUUGUUUGUUUUUUGGUACUGGGGACUGAACUCGGGACCUUGCACUUGCGAGGUAGGAGCCAAAACCACUGAGCUAAAUACCCAACUCCAGGAGUACUAUUUCUGUCAAACGUUUAAACUCCAUACUGACUUGCGAGUGAAACAGAGCUCUAGAGACCACUAGAUGGCGCUGCUACACCAUAUAAAGAAGGCUAGAGGUGCUUCUCAAAGCUAGGGAUUUGCACAAGCCACUCUUCACCAAACUCUGGAGAGAGAAGCAGGGAAGGGAGAGCUCUCUGAGUGAUCAAGCACUGCUUCAGCCUAUAGGGACUGAAUACUUCUUAAAAGUAUAUUCAGAUUGUCAGAUUGGGUUAAGUUUAAACUAGAUCAAACCAUUAAGUUUUGUCUCUUGCUAACCAGCCGAUGGUGAUUUGGGAGGGAUGUCAACUUAUACAGUAAAAUAAAGAAAGUGUAAUGUUUCUAUAAAUCAUCUGAAUUGUAUUGUAAGUCUUGGGUUUUGUCUCUGAUUGUCCUUCUGCUCAGUCAUUGAGAUUUCUCUUUCAAUAGGAUGCCAGAAGAGGAAAGAGGAUUAGAGAACAUCAUACCUUAAAUUUAUCUUUCUCUUUUAUCUCCUUCCUUUCCUAUUUUUGUUUCCUGCUCUGUCCUUGAGUUUGGAAAGGGUAUUUGAGUUUGGAGGGCUCAUGUCCAUGAAGACAUCCUUGACCUCCAGUUAUCUCUUCAUCUUUUGCCAAUAUUUUCAUCUUGUGUUUCUGUGCUAUUAAUCACUUUUUAUUCUGUCUGUUCAUAUUCUUUCUAUCAUUUGAGUAUAUCUCUUAAGAAGUGGAUCUAUGUGUAAUUCAUUUAUAAAGAUCUGAGUUCUUUAAAAAUUCUACAUGUAUAGGAAAUGUUUAGUGUGAAUAGUACCAGUCUCAAGCUGUGCAAAGAUAUAUGUUAACAAAGUUAAUUGCAGUACUGUUUAUAAUGGUGAACAUUUAGGAACUUCAGUUGCCAGUCAGUUGGGGCCUGGUUAAUUACAUACAAAGAAAAAACAUUAAUUGUUAAACUAGAUCAAUAUUUGUUGUUCUAGAAAGAUGUUCAUAGUAGAUUUUUAGUGGAAAAAGAGAUUAUAUAUACAUUUCCAUAUAUGCAAAAUUAUGUGUAUUUAACCUUGUGCCCAUAUUCCUGGAAUAUUAAUGUAUUAAAAUGUUUACAGAAAGUGGUAUUUUGUGUUCUUAAUGUUUUCCCAAGUUUUGGAUUUUUUCAGUGAACC